rnacentral:rRNA from 1 species
UACGGAGGGUGCAAGCGUUAUCCGGAUUCACUGGGUUUAAAGGGUGCGUAGGUGGGCAGGUAAGUCAGUGGUGAAAUCUCCGGGCUUAACUCGGAAACUGCCGUUGAUACUAUCUAUCUUGAAUAUCGUGGAGGUAAGCGGAAUAUGUCAUGUAGCGGUGAAAUGCUUAGAUAUGACAUAGAACACCCAUUGCGAAGGCAGCUUACUACACGAUCAUUGACACUGAGGCACGAAAGCGUGGGGAGCAAACAGG